rnacentral:rRNA from 1 species
UACGAAGGGGGCUAGCGUUGCUCGGAAUCACUGGGCGUAAAGCGCACGUAGGCGGCUUUUAAGUCAGGGGUGAAAUCCUGGAGCUCAACUCCAGAACUGCCUUUGAUACUGAGAGCUUGAGUCCGGGAGAGGUGAGUGGAACUGCGAGUGUAGAGGUGAAAUUCGUAGAUAUUCGCAAGAACACCAGUGGCGAAGGCGGCUUACUGGCCCGGUACUGACGCUGAGGUGCGAAAGCGUGGGGAGCAAACAGG